UAAAAUGAUUACGAAGGCUUUUCUC
rnacentral:piRNA from 1 species